GGAUGUGAGGGCUAUCUGGCAGUGACAUCUGUCGCCCCAUUGACCACCAACGUUGAUUCGGCUGAUCUGGCUGGCUAGGCGGGUGUCCCCAUCCUCCUUCCCACCUCAUGUGUGUGUCUCUUGAAGCUGAACACUUGGUCGAGGAGGACAGCCUUGCCUGAUAGACGAAGAGCGUUCAUUGGUCAAGGGUCAUCGGUCAAGGAUAUACCAGGGGCUGUGCUCCCCUACUGGAACUUGUAAACAGGUUCUUUUCUGGAAAAAGAAAACAAAACAAAAAAAAAAGAUUGAUAAAACUUUAUGAUGAAGAGGAAAUCAGGGACUCUUACAUAUUCCUGGUGGGAAUGUGAGUUGGU
rnacentral:snRNA from 1 species